rnacentral:rRNA from 1 species
CGGUAGGGGCAGAGGGAAUUUCUGGUGGAGCGGUGAAAUGCAUUGAGAUCGGAAAGAACACCAACGGCGAAAGCACUCUCCUGGGCCG